rnacentral:rRNA from 1 species
UACGGGGGGAGCAAGCGUUGUUCGGAUUUAUUGGGCGUAAAGGGCGCGUAGGCGGCCACGCACGUCCGUUGUGAAAUCGCCCGGCUCAACUGGGCGGGGUCAGCGGAUACGGUGUGGCUAGAGCAAGCUAGGGGGCAAUGGAAUUCCCGGUGUAGUGGUGGAAUGCGUAGAUAUCGGGAGGAACACCAGUGGCGAAGGCGGUUGCCUGGAGCUUUGCUGACGCUGAUGCGCGAAAGCGUGGGGAGCGAUCCGG